rnacentral:rRNA from 1 species
AGAGCGAACGCUGGCGGCAGGCUUAACACAUGCAAGUCGAGCGCUCGUAGCAAUACGAGAGCGGCAGACGGGAGAGUAACACGUGGGAACGUACCCUUUGGUUCGGAACAACACAGGGAAACUUGUGCUAAUACCGGAUAAGCCCUUACGGGGAAAGAUUUAUCGCCAAAGGAUCGGCCCGCGUCUGAUUAGCUAGUUGGUGGGGUAACGGCUCACCAAGGCGACGAUCAGUAGCUGGU